GGGUGGAUUCGAUUACCCUUGAGUAGCUUUUGACAGUAUAUUACAGUGGAGGAGAGGCUACAGCUGUGAAUGCAAAGGCAGUCAUGUCUUACCCACUACAGAAUGUCACCUUUAGGUUGGUGGGACCUCUAUGUUGGCAGGGAGUAAGAAGAAAGUCAGUAAAUAUAGAUUGGAAAGGAAACUUUGCAACUCCUGGAAACAGAAGAAACUCAUCUUAUUUCCCUUGAGUCCCAUUG
rnacentral:lncRNA from 1 species